GGCAACCAAAGCCAGAAUCCCUCACCAGUGAUGACAAUGUCAGCAGAGGAGCAAUGCUGGUGAAGCAAUCCAGGACAUUGGGAACCAACCAGAACACAAACCCAGUGGAACAGCUGACCUGAGCUGCCACAGCACAGCCUGGAUGGCUGCAUGGAAACAACCCAACUCCCACUGCAACUCACCAGCAGGGCUUCCUUCCAACAGCAAAGCCAAGAACACUUUCCUAAUCUUUCUGUUCCCUUCUUUACGUUCCUCCCUAAGAGACCGGUAAAACCCAUUGGAGCCCAUGCUCCAAGCCCAGGGCGCACUCUGUGGCACAGCAGCAGGGAUAGGGACAACCACCAAAGUCCAGGCUUGCACAACUCCAACAUCAGAUGAUUUCAUGGUGAAACCAGCCAAGCUGUGCGGGUGAAUCACUGCCAUGGGCACCAGCAGCUCUGCAAUGAGGGUGGCCACUCCAUCCUUCCCUUCUCCAUCAGAAAGACACCUGGAUUCAGGGAGAGCACAGAGCCCAGGAAGAAGAAAGAGAGAGCGUCCACGCAGGGCUUGCACAGGCAAAAUGGUUGUGGUUUCACCACUGCUUCAGUUUGAUCACUCACAUGUGAGCACAAAGACUCCAGAGGACUUUGAAAUGCCCAAGCGUUCGCUUUUCCCUCGUCCAUAAGCAAAUGUCACUUCCAACAGGGAAAACACCAAGGGUGGAAAUGCAUCAGAGCACCCAUGGCUGGAGCAGCAGUUCCUUCUGUUUUUCAUUAUUCCCUCUUUGGAACCUUUCCUGAAAGCCACUCUCCUUCUGCUAACAGGGAGGGAGCACCGCCUCAAACAGCCGUGUGGCACAGGGACCCAAAUAUCAGUGCCAUGCGGGCACCGAAGCACUAAAAAGACAAAAUCAAAACUGCAAAAGCUUUCAGAACUCUCCCGAUUUCAGUUGUGGUUACAGUUAACACUUGUUAUUUAAUGGUUUUUUUUUUUUUUUUAAAGCUUUUCGGGCCACGCUAAUGCCUCUCAGCGCCCUAGAUUUCAGCCCCAUGUGACUGAAAUUGGGGCUUUAUGGGUUCCUAUCACAAACUCUUUUAUUUUUGAAGAGCGUAGCAAGAUGCAAGGCAAAUGGAAAUAAAAGAAAAAGCUGAACAUAUUCCAAAACAUCCCUCCAAAACAACUGCUAAGGCCCUCAACUUGCCCAUUUCCAUCCUGUUUCACCACCAUUACUGGAUACCAGCAAUGCUCCAGCGUUACGGAGCAGAGCUGAGCACUCUGCCUCCUUUUACAGAGACAUGCCCAGGAAAGCAGCCCCACUGCUGCUGUCCCAGAAACCAAGCAGAUCAGAAAACGGCUGGAUGUGAGGGGCUAGGGGAUGCGCAAAGCGACUCCUCCCAUCCCAUCUGCAGCUGGUGCACCAGGGUCGGGCAAUGGGAUGAGCAAAGCAAAACGAUUCCUCCCAUGGCACCCGCAGCAGCGCAGGGCCCAUGGGGGGCGGCGGGGUCGGUUCUCAGCAAGCUGCCUGCUUUCAGUGAAGCUCCUUUCCGUGCGGUGUGUUGGGCUGUGCUGAGCCCCGCGCGUCUCCUCGGCACGCAGGCGGUUUCGCAAUGACUAAGGGCCGCUUACCCUCAGCACAGGGAGCCUCCAGCGGAGCGGCCGCCCAACAGGAACAGCCGCCGCUUGCUUUCCUCUUUGCUCUAAAUCACUCCAUCCUGAUGCGUCCUGAGGGCUCAGCUCCCGGCGCUGGUACCGAGCCCUGGGGGUUUGCAGGACUGGGAGAUGCGUGAAUGCUGCGAUGUUUUUUCAUCCUGUUCCAACUGUUAAUUUGUGGAAGGGGCUGAGCGCAGCUCUAACAGGGACUCGCCCCUCUGUACAGUGAUAUGGAAGGAGGAAGGGAAAUCACUGCGUUAGCUCCCAGCCACACCAGCUCCUUGGACGCUCAAUCUGAGUGCUGGGCUUUCUGAUUGAGGAGGAGAUGGAGAUCUCCAUCAGAUAGGGAUGGUGACACACACCAGCCAGCUCUCACCUCACAUCUCUGCUUUCUGUGCUUCUGCCUCUUGCAGGGUCUCUCCACCAUUUCAUCACACCCUGAAGCAACAACAUCUUCGCUCCAGGCAAUCCAGGGGGUCAAGGCUGGGCUGCAAGGUUCACUUCCUGGCAGCAAUGCCAAAUUUCUUUUACCCUGAGACGAAACUUCAGUUUCUGACUUUUGCAAUGCUGAGCCCAGCUCCUGUGACCAGCACAGCCCUCACACUCUCUCCGUAAUGCGCUGACAGCUCUGUGCUGGCUCCAGCUGUCACUGGGGUUUGCAGAGCAAUGAGGAACUCCUCUGACUUCCCAACUGGGAGAGGGGCUGCAAGCAUCCAGGUUGCUGUAAUAUAACAGAGCAACUGCUGGAGAGACCCUUCCUGCCAGCGAAAAGCACAAAUCGGUGCUCCUGCACACUCAGUUUUGACAGCUGAGUUUAUCAGUCAUCAUCACUCUGAUGAGUGCUGAAUGCCACUGUCCAAAGUCUCUAAGAUAUCACAUUCAAAUUCAGCAAGCACUCAGCAGGACCACAUAACCACAGGGUCGAGCGAGGCUAAUGACUGGUGUUUUAAUUAACGCUCAAGAAAGCCAAACUAGCAACUUAGCCAUGGCAGUGCAUGAGCCCAUGAAGUGGCCCUGAAUCAGGAGAAAUGUCCAAGCCUCAUCCUGCCACUGGGGCCACUUUGAGGUGGUUCCAAACAGAGCUGCAAGAAAUCCCAGCACAGCUCUGAAACACCGCAGAAGCAAAACCUGAGCCUUGUGCAAAGCACACUUACUGACCAACAGAGCAGAAAUGCAAUGGAGGCAAAGCCUGCUUGGCCAACAGAAGGCCAUGGCUAGUUUCCACUGCACUGAGAACAGCUUAAUGAUAGUGCACACGUGGGAAAAUAUCAUGAUCCUUGUCAUUAGAAAACUGGAGGCACAAACAAACAGCCAACGGAGCACAGCGCUUUGUGCUGCUCUGCUCUGACUGCCGCCCAUUGCACAACGCGCCUUCCUGUCUGCACAGCCCCAGCACAGCUCGUCCCUGCGGGGCUGCCCAGCAUUGACCAACACCACGGGAGAUGGACACGCUGUGUCGUGCCCUGAGCUGCCCAGGCCUCGUCUCUAUCCUUGCAAGAGCUGCAGCCACUUUGCUCAUCAUGAACGAGGAAAUGAGAUCUCCGUGAUUCAUCUCUCAGGUGGCAGCAAAUGCUGACGGUCUCCCUGGAGCGGCGCCAGAUAUUUGAUCAACACCGAUCCCCGCAAGAGAGAGAGAGAUAUAUUUUCUUCUUCUUAGCAGGAAGUUUGCUACCAAAAAUAACAAGGUGGGGCUUAUUUUCCUACCAAGCACUAAAAUUAAAGAAUUGCGGUGAAUUUUUCACAUAUUCCUUUAGAGUCAGCAUGUUGCAUGGACGAGCCCUCCGGUUUACGUGAAGCGCUGGGCACCGACGUCUCAGCACAUACAUACAGGGAUGACGUGAUGGGUGAGGAUGGUCAGAGGCUGAAUACGACGCAAAUGCUUUAACAGCAGCGCUGAGGAUGAGCUCAGAGCAACGGGAGAGCGGUGCGGAGGAGGAACGUGGGAGCAGAAUCCAACCACGGGUCAUGGUUCUUGGAAUGACAAAGAGCAAUGGGUGAGGAGGUGCUGAGGGAAGGGGCACCGGGGCUAUGUGACUCAGAGCUGCCUGUUGUCACUGACACAACGUCCAGGGGUGGGAUAUAGCACUUACCUCCCAGCGUCUGUGCUUUCCAGUCAUGCUGGAAGAGUUUUCAUCAAAAAUAUCAAUGUGCGAGAAUCUCUCUUGCUCACCUCCUCGGCCCCUAUCUCGGUGGCUCAUCUCCAACCUGCAGUGCCAAUCAGCCACCUCUGUCAGCUGGUAAGGCCAAGCAAAGUUUAGGGUGAACCGGGUGACAUCAGUACGGGUGCACAGUGCCGGUAAUUCACCGCUCGAUUCUACCAAGGAGCGAAUGAAGAUCUUCACACAAACUGGCUUCCUCCUGUUCCUGCCUCAGUUGGGGUUUCAGAGGUUUCCACUCUGAAAAGCAGGAGAAGAAGAGCACCUCGUCCCAAGAUUGGGUCCACCAGCUCAGAGGAUGCUCUCCCCAGGUAUAAUAGAGAGCAACCACCAUGCCUCUCCCCAGCUCACGGUUGCCCUCUCCUAUCCUCCUCACCCUACUGACUUCCAGCACUCUGUGAACAAAUCUGACUCAAAAUUUUGCUUUCGAACCCAAAGCAACAAAAAUACGGCCCCAUGUGAGUAAGUCCCCGAUCUCGCCCACCGCCCACACCGACCCCGCUAUUCCUUUUAGUAUCAGAAUCUUUACAGAAAAAAAAAAAAAAAAGAGUUCUGGUUUCAUCCACCUCAACAAACAGAAAGCGGUGACAGAAAAAAGGAGCUGGGGUGCACAGGGCCCCUCCUGAGUGAUCUGCAGGGAAGGGCAGGAGGAGAGAUAAAGGAAACGUCAACCUCCCACCCUACAUUGGGGUUUUCUCGCUGGGAUUACGUUUGUUUAUACAAAACUUCUUUCCAAAACGUUGAACCUACGCAAGCCCGAGCACUAACGGCAGCCGUGGGCUGAGCCCGAAGCAGAUCUGCUGUGCUUCACACCUCUGGGUGCAAGUGUGUGUUUGUACAGUCCACAUUUCCGCUCCGUGGGGAGAGCUGUGCUGUGCAAACAGUCACGGUGUGCUGCUGGGUAGGAGCUAUGAGCUCACUGUUUUGGAACUUGGCAGCUAGAAUGACUCCUUCCUGCUCGGCUCUUGCAAGGGUGACGGGAGGAGGAGGCCAGAGCUCCUUCUUGCUUGCAGCACCUUUGUGGGAUCGGGCGCUUGUCCUUCCUGCACAGCCUGCAGCGGCACCUCUGGGAGCAGCACAGCAGCAUCUCCACCUCGAGAAGCGCGAGGAGGGCAGCACAGGGGGAUUUUGGUAAUUCCUCCCCACCCGCAGAUGCUGCAGCCAAGCACAGGGACGAGCAGAAGCAGCUCCCGGCACCCGCAGAUCCUGAGGUGUCACCUGCUGCGACCACAGCCAGCAGAGAGGGGACAGGGGCAGCACCACCCCAGCACCCAUGGCACAACCACAACCCCGGAUGUGUACUUCCCCCUGCUGGCACCUGGCUGCAGCACCCAUGGCCCCAAAAGCCUGAGCUCCCCCGAAUCCCCUCAUCCCAUCAGCAACGCCACGCAAGAAACUCCACCUGCAGCAUCAUCCGGGCAGACCAGGCCACCAGAUCUCACCGUGUCCCCACGCAAAGGGAUUUUGCUAGGGCAGCAGCACUGCGUCCCCGCAGAACACACCAGGGGAGCUCAGCUGCUUUAGAGCCAUUUCAGGACAUCGCCACAGCAGCCACCUGGCCCGGAGCCACGCGAGCAAGGAGGAGAGACUGGGAGACGCAGUAAGUGUCUUUAAUCCAAAGGACUGAAGAGCAGACCAGAAAGGUUAGUAUAAGCCAACAGACGGGAGAAAAAAAAAAA